GUGUCAGCCGCCGCGGUAAUACGUGGGGGCCGAGCGUUGUCCGGAGUUACUGGGCGUAAAGGGCGCGCAGGCGGCGGCGUGGGUCCGGCGUGAAAGCCCCCGGCUCAACCGGGGAACGUCGUCGGGGACCGCGCCGCUUGAGGGCGGCAGGGGCCGGUGGAAUGCCUGGUGUAGUGGUGAAAUGCGUAGAGAUCAGGCGGAACACCCGUGGCGAAGGCGGCCGGCUGGGCCGUCCCUGACGCUGAGGCGCGAAGGCGUGGGGAGCGAACGGGAUUAGAAACCCCCGUAGUCC
rnacentral:rRNA from 1 species